CACAAACGGUGAUGUCGCGGUGUGAGCUGAGCCAGCAGUAAGGACGGGAUUACCACCCGUAUCUUUUCGGCUUUAAAUCGUCAAGCUCUGCCCACCAUAAACGAGACUACGUUACGUCUGCUACGCUUUAUGUGAUCCUGUUCAAACAGAUCAAGAGUUUGGGGUUCCUGUCUACGUCACAGUGAAGAUCCUGGGAAUCGUUUUGCUCUGCUGUACAAUCAUCAUCUUUGAGUGCUGCCUUUAAAUGAGAUGCUGCAACAAACCAGAGAAGGAUGCAGUCGAAGCAGUGACUGAGAUUCAAGCAUCAUGAAGGAGAACAGGAAGAUUUCUUAAAUAUUAAAUUACUUUGCAGAAGAUUGUUUUUUUUUGUUUGUUUUAAUGGAAGAUAACAAAUAUACUGCAGCUUCAUCAUUACUUUGUCUAGAUUGACUUGAUUUGUGGCAUUUUUAUGUUGAUUCUUUCCAAAAGAGA